AUUGAACGCUGGCGGCAUGCUUUACACAUGCAAGUCGAACGGUAACAGGCCGCAAGGUGCUGACGAGUGGCGAACGGGUGAGUAAUGCAUCGGAACGUGCCCAGUCGUGGGGGAUAACGCAGCGAAAGCUGCGCUAAUACCGCAUACGAUCUAUGGAUGAAAGCGGGGGACCGUAAGGCCUCGCGCGAUUGGAGCGGCCGAUGUCAGAUUAGGUAGUUGGUGGGGUAAAGGCUCACCAAGCCAACGAUCUGUAGCUGGUCUGAGAGGACGACCAGCCACACUGGGGCUGAGACACGGCCCAGACUCCUACGGGAGGCAGCAGUGGGGAAUUUUGGACAAUGGGCGCAAGCCUGAUCCAGCAAUGCCGCGUGCAGGAAGAAGGCCUUCGGGUUGUAAACUGCUUUUGUACGGAACGAAACGGUCCUGGUUAAUACCUGGGGCUAAUGACGGUACCGUAAGAAUAAGCACCGGCUAACUACGUGCCAGCCGCCGCCGCAGUAA
rnacentral:rRNA from 1 species